rnacentral:rRNA from 1 species
UGGCGGACGGGUGAGUAAUGUCUGGGAAACUGCCUGAUGGAGGGGGGAUAACUACUGGAAACGGUAGCUAAUACCGCAUAAUGUCGCAAGACCAAAGAGGGGGACCUUCGGGCCUCUUGCUAUCGGAUGUGCCCAGAUGGGAUUAGCUUGUUGGUGGGGUAACGGCUCACCAAGGCGACGAUCCCUAGCUGGUCUGAGAGGAUGACCAGCCACACUGGAACUGAGACACGGUCCAGACUCCUACGGGAGGCAGCAUG